rnacentral:rRNA from 1 species
CCUACGGGCGGCAGCAGUGAGGAAUAUUGGUCAAUGGACGAGAGUCUGAACCAGCCAAGUAGCGUGAAGGAUGACUGCCCUAUGGGUUGUAAACUUCUUUUAUAUGGGAAUAAAACGUUCCACGUGUGGGAUUUUGUAUGUACCAUAUGAAUAAGGAUCGGCUAACUCCGUGCCAGCAGCCGCGGUAAUACGGAGGAUCCGAGCGUUAUCCGGAUUUAUUGGGUUUAAAGGGAGCGUAGGUGGAUUGUUAAGUCAGUUGUGAAAGUUUGCGGCUCAACCGUAAAAUUGCAGUUGAAACUGGCAGUCUUGAGUACAGUAGAGGUGGGCGGAAUUCGUGGUGUAGCGGUGAAAUGCUUAGAUAUCAUGAAGAACUCCGAUUGCGAAGGCAGUUCACUGGACUGCAACUGACACUGAGGCUCGAAAGUGUGGGUAUCAAACAGGAUUAGAUACCCUGGUAGUC